rnacentral:lncRNA from 1 species
UCGUAUUUAAAUUCAUAUAUGAAAUGGUGUAAUAUUAUUUAAUUUUUUAUUUAUUUUAAAUCUGAGUGAUUGCUGCAUUUGGAUAAAGCCUAGUCUAAGGUUCACGAUUAGAGUUAUUUUAUUUUAGGCAUAAUUGUAAAAGGGUUUUUUCACUUAAGCCCUUAAGCUUCUUUUUUUUGCCAUUCUCAUCCACAACGUUACAACUUUUGACAUGACACAUUAUCACUAACGUGGCAUUUUAUAUUUUUAAAAAUUAUUAAAAAUUUACUUAUAAAAAAAUAAAAAAUUUAUAUUUUUUAAAAAAUUAUAAAAAUAAAAAAAUGAUAAUUUAAAAAACUUAUUAAAAGUUUAAAUUUUAUAAAAACAAAUUCAAAAAAGGAAAUAAAUUCAGGAAAUAUGUGUAUUUUGAGAAACAACAUAAAAGAAAUUAGCAAACCAUGAAGAAGAGAGAUCACAAUCAUCCCCAACCCAAUCCAGACCCCUCGGCUCAUCCGUCAGCCGCGGUUCUUCAACCGGAAAAGCCAACAAAUUUUUGAGGAAGCUUCCUUCUCAGAUUACGGUCUCAAAGCAAUUCCUAAUAAGGCUAUUUAUUCUCAAAAUACUCAAAAUCAAACCCAAUCCCAGACCCACGAUUCUUCGUCUUCUACCAGCUGCGGUGGUGGGAUUGAUGAGGUUGUGAGGGAAAAGGAAAGCGAUGACAUAGUGAGGAGAACACCGAUCACAAUGAGCAAGUCAAUUCGAGAUCCACGAAACGACUGCGCUUUGUCCCUACAACCACCCGCCAUCAGUCCAACACUCUUAAACAGAGCGCAAAAACAGAGAGAUGAAGAAGAGAAAUGGGUCUUUGCUUAAAUCUAUUGCAUCAAUGAAAAGAAAAGUUGAAAAUUUUAAGCUAAUAAUUUUCUGGGUUUUUAUUUAUUUAUUCUUAUUCAGAGAAAUAAAC